UACAGGGGGUGCAAACGUUGCUCGGAAUCCUUGGGCGUAAAGCGCCCGUAGGCGGUUUGUUAUGUCGGAUGUGAAAGCCCUUGGCUCAACUAAGGAAGUGCAUCCGAAACUGGCAAGCUGGAGUACUAAAGAGGGUCGCGGAAUUCCCGGUGUAGAGGUGAAAUUCGUAGAUAUCGGGAGGAACACCGGUGGCGAAGGCGGCGACCUGGGUAGAUACUGACGCUGAGGUGCGAAAGCGUGGGGAGCAAACAGG
rnacentral:rRNA from 1 species